UUGGAGGGCAAGUCUGGUGCCAGCAGCCGCGGUAAUUCCAGCUCCAAUAGCGUAUAUUAAAGUUGUUGCAGUUAAAAAGCUCGUAGUUGAAACUUGGGCCUGGCUGACUGGUCCGCCUCACCGCGUGUACUGGUUCGGCCGGGCCUUUCCUUCUGGAGAGCCUCAUGCCCUUCACUGGGUGUGUUGGGGAACCAGGACUUUUACUUUGAAAAAAUUAGAGUGUUCAAAGCAGGCCUUUGCUCGAAUACGUUAGCAUGGAAUAAUAGAAUAGGACGUGCGAUCCUAUUUUGUUGGUUUCUAGGACCGCCGUAAUGAUUAAUAGGGAUAGUCGGGGGCAUCAGUAUUCAAUUAUCAGAGGUGAAAUUCUUGGAUUUAUUGAAGACUAACUACUGCGAAAGCAUUUGCCAAGGAUGUUUUCAUUAAUCAGUGAACGAAAGUUAGGGGAUCGAAGACGAUCAGAUACCGUCGUAGUCUUAACCGUAAACUAUGCCGACUAGGGAUCGGGCGAUGUUAUUAUUUUGACUCGUUCGGCGCCUUACGGGAAAC
rnacentral:rRNA from 1 species